rnacentral:rRNA from 1 species
UACGAAGGGUGCUAGCGUUGUUCGGAAUGACUGGGCGUAAAGGGAGCGUAGGCGGUUGAGUACGUUUGGUGUGAAAGUCCUGGGCUUAACCUGGGGACUGCAUUGAAUACGGCUUGACUUGAGGUAUAGAGGGGAAGAUGGAAUUGUGUGUGUAGAGGUGAAAUUCGUAGAUAUACACAAGAACACCAGUGGCGAAGGCGGUCUUCUGGACGGUGACUGACGCUGAGGCGCGAAAGCGUGGGGAGCAAACGGG